UACGUAGGGCGCAAGCGUUGUCCGGAAUUAUUGGGCGUAAAGAGCUCGUAGGCGGCCUGUUGCGUCCGCUGUGAAAUCCCGGGGCUCAACCCCGGGCCUGCAGUGGAUACGGGCUGGCUAGAGGCAGGCAGGGGAGAACGGAAUUCCUGGUGUAGCGGUGAAAUGCGCAGAUACCAGGAGGAACACCGGUGGCGAAGGCGGUUCUCUGGGCCUGUACUGACGCUGAGGAGCGAAAGCGUGGGGAGCAAACAGG
rnacentral:rRNA from 1 species